GUAAGCUGCACACAAGAGUCAGGGACAAAUUGAUGGCUCCCUCGUCAAAAAGCCGUCGUCAAAAGUCAACUACCGCCGACGAUCCUCCUGCCCCGCCGCCGCAGCCCACCCGCCUAGCCGUUGUAUCCACCCCGAAAAUCGGACGAAAAAAACGUCAGUUUCCCGUUCACGCGUGCGUAGGAGUAGUGCGUGUACCGCAUUUUACCGUUCACUUAUUUCGUUUGAUGUUUCACAUAAUAUUAUCAUAAUACAAUGUAGUUUGUCUAAUAAAUAGACCGGGGGUGGGAGGAUCGGGUGACUUU